UGAUGACGUGGAUGAAUUUCAAA
rnacentral:miRNA from 2 species